rnacentral:rRNA from 1 species
AGCAGCCGCGGUAAUUCCAGCUCCAAUAGCGUAUAUUAAAGUUGUUGCAGUUAAAAAGCUCGUAGUUGAAUUUCAGGCCUGGCUGGACGGUCCGCCCUUCGGGUGAGUACUGUCUGUGGUCGGGUCCUACCUUCUGGCGAAGCGUCAUGGCCUUAACCGGCCGUGGCGGGGAACCAGGACUUUUACUGUGAAAAAUUAGAGUGUUCAAAGCAGGCAAAUCGCUUGGAUACAUUAGCAUGGAAUAAUGGAAUAGGACAAUGGUUCUAUUUGUUGGUUUCUAGGACCGUUGUAAUGAUUAAUAGGGAUAGUUGGGGGCAUUAGUAUUCAAUUGUCAGAGGUGAAAUUCUUGGAUUUAUUGAAGACUAACUACUGCGAAAGCAUUUGCCAAGGAUGUUUUCAUUAAUCAAGAACGAAAGUUAGGGGAUCGAAGACGAUCAGAUACCGUCGUAG